GCUCGCCUUGGGAACACACAGUGAGCGGAGCGUCCGCAGUCGCAGUAGCACUCGAAGUCCGCAUCCGCAACGUUUUCGAAUACGUUUUUCAAACACAUCCGUAUCCUAACCAACUCAAUCUGUCCCAAUCGAUCGCGUCCGUAAUCGCGUCUUUUUGCCGUACUCGAUGUUCCGGUCUUAUGUGAAAUCGUGUCCAAAGGAGUUCGAAACAUUAAUCUCAUCGGAUUUGAAAUUGGAAACACAAAAGUUCGUUUCGAAACCCAAGUAUUGCUGGCCAAGAGAGUCGUUACAAUUUAAAAAGGCAGCUAUAAUCGUUUAAUUUACGAGCAAUUCGAGGAGCAGAAUAUAUAUUAAAAGUAUAUAUGGUUAGUGUUGUGUUAAAAAAAAAGAAUAUCAAAAAAUUUAUGAAAAUGUUGAAUUGUUGUUGCCAUAAGUUUUAAAGUGUGCAAAGUGCAACUCUCUUAAAAUCAACGAAUAAUACAACGCGUCCAAAAAAAGAAUCGUAAAACUGAAAAAAGCAAACAAACAUAAAAAUAAGCUCGUCAAAAAUGUUGGCUAAUCAAAUGUUGGCCACCUAGAAACCAGCUGAGAUUGCUCCAUUCAUCGCUCCCCAAUUUUUAUCGCGGGAAUAUCUGACAUGACAAGAAAGUCAUUGGCGUUGAUAAGAUGCAUUAUCAGCGGGGAAGACGAAGAUGAAGAUCCGCAAAAGCAACAGCAGCAAUUGAAAAGUGUUAAACAAGUCUACGAUAUGAUAACCUAAUUUCCUGCCAGGAAAGAGGCGAAAUAAGAUUUUUACCCAGAGUGAGACUCUUUAUACAAAGCAAAGUCAGUGAGAAAAUAAUAAAAAAAAAAAACGCAAUCGAAACGAAAGUAAAAGAUUUCUUAAACGGGGCGUUCAUAUGUUUCAACGACAUACGAGGGCGUGGCGAAGUCGAAGGCCCAAUAAACUGGCAAACAAACAAUAAACAACAGGCGUUACAACAGCGACUGGCUCGAAAAUUAUAAACAUUCGGAUUCGGAAUCGAAGUCGGGCGGAAAACAACGGCUCGAGAAACCCCUGUGAACCGAAAGUGGUGAUCUUUGAUGCGAAGAAACCUGCGCUUGGACUGGAGGGCCCUGGCGCUGCUGGGCGCCCUCCUCUCGUUCAUCAUCGCCUGGCCGGGCCUGGUCUUUGCGAUGCCCCUCAUGGCCAUGGACAACUCAACCCUAUCCACAUCCACAUCCACAUCAACACACAAGCCCACAUCCAACAGCACGAACAAUAGCAAUCUGUUUAGUAAUAGUUAUCUACAAAGUGAUCAUAGUCGUAGUAGUUUAGUGCCGAGCGCAGUGAGUGAACAUAGUGUAAAUCAACCCGCAAAUCAAAGUAUUAAAGCUGAAUUUAAUCAGAGCUUAAGCACGCAUCCAGAACACCAAUCCCAAUCCCAAUACCAAUCCUCAUCCCGAUCCCAGGAGGAGGACUCCGAUCAGCUGGAGGAUCCGCUGGGAUUCGUCAUCUCGGGGGCGGCGAACGAGCACCUUGCGGUUUUGUCGCGUACCGAACGCAGCAUUCGUCACCAGAAUCAGCAGCAGCAGAAGAAGCAUCACCAUGCGCAAAAUCAUCAUCACCAGCAGCAGCAGCAGCCACAGUCGCCCGCUGACAAUAAUUUCAUUGGUUCGAAAUCGAAAAGACUGAGCAACCCUAGAAGUAAUCUAAACAUAAAUAGCAGUAGUAGUAACACACCCAUCAGCAAUCUGGACCGCAACGAGCGCUCCACGGUGCCCCAGUCCCACUUGGCCUGGACAUCCCGCAAGAUCCAGCUGUACAUCAAGAACCACAUACUCCAGAUAAUGCGUGAUGGCGUUGUCAACGGAACCCAGUUCGAGAAUAGUGAAUUCACGAUCCUCCAGCGCUCCACGGUGGAUGUGGGACGCAUCAAGCUUCAAAGUGUGGCCACCUGCCUGUAUCUGUGCAUGGACGCGUGUGGUGUUCCCUACGGCUCGAAAGACUUCACCGACGACUGCGUCUUCAACGAGAACAUGGGCCUGCAGAACUACAACACGUACUCCUCCACGUACCACUCGCAGGCGCGGCGGGUCUUCUACUUGGCCCUGAACGGCAGUGGCCAGCCGAGACGCACCCAGAUCCCGGCCAGCCGAUCGCUGGGCAAGCUGAGCACCUACACCAAUGCCAUCACGGAGACGGUGCCGCAGGAUCGGGUCGAGCAGCUGAUCGCCAAGACUUUUGGGGCCAAUCGCGUCAAGCACGGCGUGCGGCAACUCUGUGAUACGGGCAAGCCGCUGAUCGAGCUGAUCGAUGUGGCCAAGUUUAGGGGGCCGCCACAUUGCAGCAGCAACACAAGUGGCAGUAGUACUAGUAAAAGUAGUAGCACUAGCAGUAGCAGUAGCAGUAGCAGUUACGUUCCUGUGCCUGCGAUCGGCAGCCUGAGUAGUAUUAGUAACAGUAGUCAAAGCGAGAGCGGCCAUAUUAGCAGUAGCCUUAGCAGUAGCAGUAAUACCAGUAGUAGCAGUACCAGUAGCAGUAGCAAUAGUAGUAGCCCCGGUGGCAAGAAGCCCAAUAGAAAGAAGAAGCCCCGUUGCAAGCCGCACGAGCAGGAGGACACCCACAAUUGCCAAAAGCGUGGAGGAGCGGGAUCGGGAGCGGGGGCCCUGAGAAAACUGGGUCCCAAGGCGCAGAGGUGCAAGGAGUUGCGCGAAAAGGCGGCCGCUGAGAAGAGAGCCCCACCCAAUUGUGGCAAGAAGAAUGGGGCCAGGAGGAACCCUCCAGAUUUGGCCAAGGCGGUGCAGCAGCGGGCCAAGGCCAGUAUCCAGCAGCAGCAGGGUGGCAAGAGGAAGCCCAACAAAACGGGAAAGCAGCGGCAGAAUGGAGGCAAGAAGCAACAACAGCAGCAGCAGCAGCAGCCAGCACAUCAGGUCAAGGCUGUUUCCGGUGGCAAGCGGAAGCACCGGAAGUUGGAUACGAGCACCACCACCACCACCACCAUGGCCACCAGCCUGGCCACGCCCCCCGCAAGCCACUGGGAGAGCAGCUCGCCCAUUCCCGCCUUCUCCCUCAGUGAAACCAGCGAUCGGGUGGAGCGCAAUGUGCGCAUGAGCAGCGGCGAGGAUCAGGAUCAGGAUCCGAAUCAGAAUCAGGAGCAGGCUGAUCCGGAGGAGGAGGCCGAGGGCGACGGGGUGUCCCUGGAGGAUGCCAGCUAUGAGGACUCCAGCUCCGAGGCCCAGGGACGCAGCGGUGCAGCCGGCGACGAUUCGCUCUACUACGAUUUGUGAGUUUCCCAUAAGCAACUUCUUAGCUAACCCUUCAUCUAUCUCUCACAAAACAAACAAUAAUUAAGUAUAGAUUUUCCAAAUUUGAUUACAAUUUUCUAAAUUUAUACAAAUAACUUGUUUUUUAUUGGCAAUAACUUAUUUAAUACAUUAUAUGGAUUGGAACUUUAAUAUUUCUAAAUUUAUCUAAAAUUAUUAGAUACUUUCCUUUUGGCAUUAACAUUGAUUGGAAUUUUUCAUAGCCUUAAAAGUAUUUUCCAAAUUUAUUUCACACAUUUUGUACUUUUUGGUUAAUUUGUAUUGGUUGUUGUGCUUUUUAUUUUAUUAUUAUUAUACUUUUCAAAAUUUAAACUAUUUAUUUGGGCCUAACUUUGAAAUCAAAACGUUCAAAAUGUGGAAAAUUCAGUUAAUAUCAGUAUGAGGCUGUUGAAAAAAUGAGAAAAGAGAAGGGAGGACCUAGAAAUGAUGUAUAAAGUCUGGCUUGAGUAUGCAAGAGAUAUUGUAAUUGCAAGUUUGCACAACACAUCCACACACGAUCAGACACCAACAGACACCCACCCUAUACACAGCACAUCCAGCACCAGAUCAACACCACAUAUAUCAUCCGCCAGUGUCGGACUGUUGUCCCCCCGGCGAUGAUCCGUGAUCCAGGUCAAUGCCAGCCCCACACUAAAGACGAUGAAUAUCAAUGUAUUACGACGGAGUCUCGAGUAUUUUAUAAGAACCUCUCAGCCAGCCAUUUGGAGUAUAACCCCCAUCGAAAUGUAUGAUAAACGCACGCCCAUCCAAUCAGAUAGAUGUAAAAUCAAAGCCAUAACCUUACGCAACACGAAUGACCCAAAGAGUCUAUUGAAAUACUUGAGUCUCUGUGGCGGAACUUUCACGUUCGGUUGACGAUGAAAAUACUCAAAAAUACGACCACACCGAUAAGUCUACCAGAAACAAAACAAGAAAAAUUAAAACUUGCAAAACGCUUUCCCAAUAUUGUAAACAAGUGAAGCGGCGAAAAUUCGAAUAUGUCGAGGGAAUUCAAUUGUAAAUAGAUACGCGGUUAGUCGUAAGAUCAAUUUUUUGUCUCCGUAUUGUCGAACCUCGCUGCCCUCAGUGCGUAUAUAUCUUAAGCUCUGUAUAUCAAUUUUGAAUGCAAUUUUUACUGAGGUAAAUACCCCAUGCGAAACAGUAAAGCCAACGACACAUCGAAAACUAUUAUAAAUAAAAUAAAAAUAUGGAAUGCAAAACUCACAAAUCACAAGAUUGUAUUUAAAUUUACAGAUACUAAUGAAACUAACAUGUAAUAUUAAUUUAUUCGAUCAACGAGAAAAAAGCGUGAAAUUAUAGUUUGUAGCUUUAAUGAUGGAGUUAUUUAUUUAUUUGAGAAUAUUUAUUUAUAAACUACUAUUAAGAUGCUUAGGCCCUAGACUAACAAAACUUUGUUAUAAUUUAAUGCAUUGAACAAUGCAUUUCCAGAUAAAAGAAUAAAUGAAAGAAGCAUGAGAAAAACGUGAAAAACGUAACAAAAAAAAUAAAAUUAAAAAUACAUUUAUAUA